rnacentral:lncRNA from 1 species
UGUACGAGAUCUAAAUACGAGGUCCUAAAUAUGGUAUAAACAGUAGUCCCCCAAGUCUUCAGUUAAGAGAGUUUUUUGGUUGGAAACUUGAAAUUCAGUUCAUGUGUGGGCCGAAGUAACUAGAUGUUGUCUUGAACUGAUGCUCGAUAUAAGGCAAUGCUCAAUCUGAAAUGAUGCUCAACUAGAAGUAGCACACACUGCGAAGCUGCUCGGCUCGUGGCUUAUGUUGCCUUAGUUGGCUCGGUUUUAUGGCGUUUGAAGGUGAGGGAGUCCCUUUUAUAGAAUAAAGGCUCACUCCUCAAUACAUGAAUGAUGGGCUAGAGUUGAUGCUAUCUAAUAAUGGUGAGGGAGUCUCUUUUAUAGAAUAAGGGCUCGCUCUUCAAUACAUAAGUGAUGGGUUAGGAGUGAUGCUCACGGCGAG